AAACCAACAGGGAUUGCCUCAGUAACGGCGAGUGAAGCGGCAACAGCUCAAAUUUGAAAUCUGGCUCUUUCAGGGUCCGAGUUGUAAUUUGUAGAAGAUGCUUUGGGUGUGGCUCCGGUCUAAGUUCCUUGGAACAGGACGUCAUAGAGGGUGAGAAUCCCGUACGUGACUGGUUGCCUUCGCUCGUGUAAAGCUCUUUCGACGAGUCGAGUUGUUUGGGAAUGCAGCUCAAAAUGGGUGGUAAAUUUCAUCUAAAGCUAAAUAUUGGCCAGAGACCGAUAGCGCACAAGUAGAGUGAUCGAAAGAUGAAAAGCACUUUGGAAAGAGAGUUAAACAGUACGUGAAAUUGUUGAAAGGGAAGCGCUUGCAACCAGACUUGCAUGCUGUUGAUCAUCCAGGUUUCUACCUGGUGCACUCGGCAGUGUUCAGGCCAGCAUCGGUUUCGGUGGGCGGAUAAAGGCCUUGGGAAUGUAGCUUCUUUCGGGGAGUGUUAUAGCCCUCGGUGCAAUGCGCCCUACCGGGACCGAGGACCGCGCUUCGGCUAGGAUGCUGGCGUAAUGGUUGUAAGCGAC
rnacentral:rRNA from 1 species